rnacentral:rRNA from 1 species
GACGAACGCUGGCGGCGUGCUUAACACAUGCAAGUCGAACGGAAAGGCCCUGCUUUUGUGGGGUGCUCGAGUGGCGAACGGGUGAGUAACACGUGAGUAACCUGCCCUUGACUUUGGGAUAACUUCAGGAAACUGGGGCUAAUACCGGAUAGGAGCUCCUGCUGCAUGGUGGGGGUUGGAAAGUUUCGGCGGUUGGGGAUGGACUCGCGGCUUAUCAGCUUGUUGGUGGGGUAGUGGCUUACCAAGGCUUUGACGGGUAGCCGGCCUGAGAGGGUGACCGGCCACAUUGGGACUGAGAUACGGACCAGACUCCUACGGGAGGCAGCAGUGGGGAAUAUUGCACAAUGGGCGGAAGCCUGAUGCAGCAACGCCGCGUGCGGGAUGACGGGCUUCGGGUUGUAAACCGCUUUCGCCUGUGACGAAGCGUGAGUGACGGUAAUGGGUAAAGAAGCACCGGCUAACUACGUG